UACGAAGGGGGCUAGCGUUGUUCGGAAUUACUGGGCGUAAAGCGCACGUAGGCGGAUCAUUUAGUCAGGGGUGAAAUCCCGGGGCUCAACCUCGGAACUGCCUUUGAUACUGAUGGUCUCGAGUCCGAUAGAGGUGAGUGGAAUUCCUAGUGUAGAGGUGAAAUUCGUAGAUAUUAGGAAGAACACCAGUGGCGAAGGCGGCUCACUGGAUCGGUACUGACGCUGAGACGCGAAAGCGUGGGGAGCAAACAGG
rnacentral:rRNA from 1 species